rnacentral:tmRNA from 1 species
GGGGCUGUCAUGGUUUCGACAGGUUCUCGUCUGAUUCAGAUUGCAGUGGAGUGGUUGCCUUACAACCAAACAAAAUUAACUGGAAACAGUAGACUACAAUUCGCUGCUUAAUACGCUUUAAAGCUGCAGUGUGAUCUUAUAAGUUUUAGUCUUUGGGCAAGUAAGAUCAACUAACCUACAAAGAAUAAGCUGUGUGUCGCUCGAACGCAUGGACGAAAAUCUAAGAGCACAUCAAAGAUCGCUGUUUGUUCGUUUGCAGCCCUUUGAUUAUCUCAAACGGAAUAAACUGUAGACAUCUGAAUGUGGGACAUUGCUUGGACGCGGGUUCGACUCCCGCCAGCUCCACCA